AUUGAACGCUGGCGGCAGGCCUAACACAUGCAAGUCGAACGAGUGGCGGACGGGUGAGUAAUGUCUGGGAAACUGCCCGAUGGAGGGGGAUAACUACUGGAAACGGUAGCUAAUACCGCAUACCAUCGGAUGUGCCCAGAUGGGAUUAGCUAGUAGGUGGGGUAACGGCUCAACUAGGCGACGAUCCCUAGCUGGUCUGAGAGGAUGACCAGCCAAACGGGAACUGAGACACGGUCCAGACGCUUACGGGGGGCAGCGGUGGGGAAUAUUGCACAAGGGGCGAAAGCCUGAAGCAGCCAGCCCGCGUGUAUGAAGAAGGCUUUGGGGUUUUAAAGUACUUUCAGCGAGGAGGCGUUACUCGCAGAAGAAGCACCGGCUAACUCCGGGCCAGCAGCCGCGGUAAUA
rnacentral:rRNA from 1 species